rnacentral:rRNA from 1 species
GUCCUAAGGUAGCGAAAUUCCUUGACACUUAAUUGGUGUCCUGCAUGAAUGUUGUAACGACUGCUACGCUGUCCCAGCUGUGGGUUCUGUGAAUUUGAAUUGCCCGUGCAGAUGCGGGCAUGUAAGCAUUGGACGAAGAGACCCCGUGCAGCUUAAC